rnacentral:rRNA from 1 species
AUUGAACGCUGGCGGCAGGCCUAACACAUGCAAGUCGAGCGAGUGGCGGACGGGUGAGUAAUGUAUGGGGAUCUGCCCGAUAGAGGGGGACAACUACUGGAAACGGUGGCAAAUACCGCAUACUAUCGGAUGAACCCCUAUGGGAUUAGCUGGUAGGUGGGGUAAAGGCUCACCUAGGCGACGAUCUCUAGCUGGUCUGAGAGGAUGAUCAGCCACACUGAGACUGAGACACGGCCCAGGCUCCUACGGGGGGCAGCAGUGGAGAAUAUUGCACAAUGAGCGCAAGCCUGAUGCAGCCAUGCCGCGUGUGUGAAGAAGGCCUUAGGAUUGUAGAAUACUUUCAGCGAGGAGGCGUUACCCGCAGAAGAAGCACCGGCUAACUCCGUGCCAGCAGCCGCGGUAAUUC